rnacentral:rRNA from 1 species
GAGACCUCAGGUCAGGCGGGGCUACCCGCUGAGUUUUAGCAUAUCAAUAAGCGGAGGAAAAG